AGAGUUUGAUCCUGGCUCAGGAUAAACGCUGGCGGCGUGCCUAACACAUGCAAGUCGAACGCGCUUCGCAAGAAGCGAGUGGCGGACGGGUGAGUAUCACGUGGGUGACCUACCUUGAGGUGAGGAAUACCACCGAGAAAUCGGUGACAAUACCGCAUAUGCUUGGGUAACCAAGCAAAGUCUCGCAAGAGACGCCACAAGAUGGGCCUGCGCCUGAUUAGCUAGUUGGUGAGGUAAUGGCUCACCAAGGCCACGAUCAGUAGCUGGUCUGAGAGGAUGAUCAGCCACACUGGGAUUGAGAACGGCCCAGACUCCUACGGGGGGCAGCAGUGAGGAAUUUUCGUCAAUGGGGGCAACCCUGAACGAGCAACGCCGCGUGCAGGAUGACACUUUUCGGAGCGUAAACUGCUUUUCUGGAGGAAGAGAACGGACGGUACUCCAGGAAGAAGCCCCGGCUAACUACGUGCCAGCAGCCGCGGUAAUACGUAGGGGGCAAGCGUUGUCCGGAGUUACUGGGCGUAAAGCGCCCGCAGGCGGUCAGGCAAGUUCAGACUGACAAUCCCCAGCUUAACUGGGGAGGGUGUAUGAAAACUGCAUGACUUGAGGCAUAGAGAGGGACAUGGAAUUCCGGGUGGAGUGGUGAAAUGCGUAGAUAUCCGGAGGAACACCAAAGGCGAAGGCAAUGUCCUGGCUAUGUCCUGACGCUGAGGGGCGAAAGCUAGGGGAGCGAACGGGAUUAGAUACCCCGGUAGUCCUAGCCGUAAACGAUGACCACUAGACGUUCGGGGUAUCGACCCCCUGAGUGUCGUAGCUAACGCGAUAAGUGGUCCGCCUGGGGAGUACGGUCGCAAGAUUAAAACUCAAAGGAAUUGACGGGGACCCGCACAAGCAGCGGAGCGUGUGGUUUAAUUCGAUGCAACGCGAAGAACCUUACCAGGAUUUGACAUGGCAGUGACUAGGCUAGAGAUAGCCCUUCCUUCGGGACACUGUCACAGGUGCUGCAUGGCUGUCGUCAGCUCGUGCCGUGAGGUGUUGGGUUAAGUCCCGCAACGAGCGCAACCCUCGUCGGUAGUUGUAUGUAUCUACCGAGACUGCCGCGAUCAACGUGGAGGAAGGUGGGGAUGACGUCAAGUCAGCACGGCCCUUACAUCCUGGGCGACACACACGCUACAAUGGCAAGGACAACGAGUCGCCAACCCGCGAGGGGGAGCCAAUCUCAACAAACCUUGUCUCAGUUCGGAUCGGAGGCUGCAACUCGCCUCCGUGAAGUUGGAGUUGCUAGUAACCGUGAGUCAGCACAUCACGGUGAAUACGUUCCCGGGUCUUGUACACACCGCCCGUCACACCACGAAAGUCGGCAACACCUGAAGCCGCUGGGCUAACCCGCGAGGGGGGCAAGCGUCGAGGGUGGGGUCGGUGAUUGGGGUGAAGUCGUAACAAGGUAACCGUA
rnacentral:rRNA from 1 species